rnacentral:rRNA from 1 species
GUCUGGUGGCGACCGGCGCACGGGUGCGUAACGCGUAUGCAACCUGCCUUAUGCAGGGGGAUAGCCCAUGGAAACGUGGAUUAAUACCCCAUAGUAUCAUUUUAUUGCAUAGUAGAAUGAUUAAAACUUCGGUGGCAUAAGAUGGGCAUGCGUCUGAUUAGCUUGUUGGUGAGGUAACGGCUCACCAAGGCGACGAUCAGUAGGGGUUCUGAGAGGAUUAUCCCCCACACUGGUACUGAGACACGGACCAGACUCCUACGGGAGGCAGCAGUGAGGAAUAUUGGUCAAUGGGCGCGAGCCUGAACCAGCCAUCCCGCGUGCAGGAUGACGGCCCUAUGGGUUGUAAACUGCUUUUCUACGCCAAGAAACCCUGUUACGUGUAACAGGUUGCCGGUAGCGUAGGAAUAAGCAUCGGCUAACUCCGUGCCAGCAGCCGCGGUAAUACGGAGGAUGCAAGCGUUAUCCGGAUUCAUUGGGUUUAAAGGGUGCGCAGGUUGGCUUGUAAGUCAGUGGUGAAAUACUGCCGCUUAACGGUAGAAUUGCCAUUGAUACUGCGGGUCUUGAGUAUGGUUGAGGUAGGCGGAAUGUGUUGUGUAGCGGUGAAAUGCAUAGAUAUGACACAGAACGCCGAUUGCGAAGGCAGCUUACUAAGCCAUUACUGACGCUGAGGCACGAAAGCGUGGGGAGCGAACAGGAUUAGAUACCCUGGUAGUCCACGCUGUAAACGAUGUUCACUCGCUGUUUGCGAUACACAGUAAGCGGCUGAGCGAAAGCAUUAAGUGAACCACCUGGGGAGUACGAUCGCAAGGUUGAAACUCAAAGGAAUUGACGGGGGCCCGCACAAGCGGAGGAACAUGUGGUUUAAUUCGAUGAUACGCGAGGAACCUUACCUGGGCUUAAA